AUUGAACGCUGGCGGCAGGCUUAACACAUGCAAGUCGAACGGUAACAUAAAGAAGCUUGCUUCUUUGAUGACGAGUGGCGGACGGGUGAGUAAUGCUUGGGUAUCUAGCUUAUGGAGGGGGAUAACUACGGGAAACUGUAGCUAAUACCGCGUAAUAUCGAGAGAUUAAAGUGUGGGACCUUCUGGCCACAUGUCAUCGGAUGAGCCCAAGGGGGAUUAGGUAGUUGGUGAGGUAAAUGCUCACCAAGCCGACGAUCUCUAGCUGGUUUGAGAGGAUGACCAGCCACACUGGGACUGAGACACGGCCCAGACUCCUACGGGAGGCAGCAGUGGGGAAUAUUGCGCAAUGGGGGCAACCCUGACGCAGCCAUGCCGCGUGAAUGAAGAAGGCCUUCGGGUUGUAAAGUUCUUUCGGUAGCGAGGAAGGCAUUUAGUUUAAUAGACUAGGUGAUUGACGUUAACUACAGAAGAAGCACCGGCUAACUCCGUGCCAGCAGCCGCCGUAAGAC
rnacentral:rRNA from 1 species